GGGGCAGUAGCUCAGAUGGUAGAGCAACAAGAUUACUUUUCGCUAUUGGCAUAUAAAGUUCCUAUCAAUCACCAGGUUUGUAGGUCACAGGUUCGAGUCCUGUCUGCUCCU
rnacentral:tRNA from 1 species